rnacentral:rRNA from 1 species
UACGGGGGGGGCAAGCGUUGUUCGGAAUUACUGGGCGUAAAGCGUGCGCAGGCGGUGAUGUAAGACAGUUGUGAAAUCCCCGGGCUCAACCUGGGAAUUGCAUCUGUGACUGCAUCGCUAGAGUACGGUAGAGGGGGAUGGAAUUCCGCGUGUAGCAGUGAAAUGCGUAGAUAUGCGGAGGAACACCGAUGGCGAAGGCAAUCCCCUGGACCUGUACUGACGCUCAUGCACGAAAGCGUGGGGAGCAAACAGG